GCGGCGUGCCUAACACAUGCAAGUCGAACGGGAAAACAGGGGCAACUCUGUGAGUACAGUGGCGUACGGGUGAGUAACACGUGACUACCUACCCUCGAGUGGGGGAUAACCCCGGGAAACCGGGGCUAAUACCGCAUAACAUCGCAAGAUCAAAGGAGCAAUUCGCUUGAGGAGGGGGUCGCGGCUGAUUAGCUAGUUGGUGAGGUAACGGCCCACCAAGGCGAUGAUCGGUAGCCGGCCUGAGAGGGCGCACGGCCACACUGGAACUGAAACACGGUCCAGACUCCUACGGGAGGCAGCAGUGGGGAAUUUUGCGCAAUGGGGGAAACCCUGACGCAGCAACGCCGCGUGGAGGAUGAAGUCCCUUGGGACGUAAACUCCUUUCGACCCGGACGAUAAUGACGGUACGGGUGGAAGAAGCACCGGCUAACUUCGUGCCAGCAGCCGCGGUAAUACGAGGGGUGCGAGCGUUGUUCGGAAUUAUUGGGCGUAAAGGGCGCGUGGGCGGUGCGGUAAGUCACCUGUGAAAUCUCCCGGCUCAACUGGGAGCUUGCAGGCGAAACUGCCGUGCUGGAGUGUGGGAAAGGUGCGUGGAAUUCCCGGUGUAGCGGUGAAAUGC
rnacentral:rRNA from 1 species